rnacentral:tRNA from 1 species
GGGGCUGGGGCUCAGUGGUAGAGCUCUUGCCUAGCACGCGUGAGGCACUGGGUUCAAUUCUCAGCACCA